rnacentral:rRNA from 2 species
UAGGGAAUCUUCGGCAAUGGACGAAAGUCUGACCGAGCAACGCCGCGUGAGUGAAGAAGGUUUUCGGAUCGUAAAACCCUGUUGUUAGAGAAGAACAAGGACGUUAGUAACUGAACGUCCCCUGACGGUAUCUAACCAGAAAGCCACGGCUAACUACGUGCCAGCAGCCGCGGUAAUACGUAGGUGGCAAGCGUUGUCCGGAUUUAUUGGGCGUAAAGCGAGCGCAGGCGGUUUCUUAAGUCUGAUGUGAAAGCCCCCGGCUCAACCGGGGAGGGUCAUUGGAAACUGGGAGACUUGAGUGCAGAAGAGGAGAGUGGAAUUCCAUGUGUAGCGGUGAAAUGCGUAGAUAUAUGGAGGAACACCAGUGGCGAAGGCGGCUCUCUGGUCUGUAACUGACGCUGAGGCUCGAAAGCGUGGGGAGCAAACAGG